GGCGAACGCUGGCGGCAGGCCUAACACAUGCAAGUCGAACGAAGUCUUCGGACUUAGUGGCGGACGGGUGAGUAACACGUGGGAACGUGCCUUUAGGUUCGGAAUAACUCAGGGAAACUUGUGCUAAUACCGAAUGUGCCCUUCGGGGGAAAGAUUUAUCGCCUUUAGAGCGGCCCGCGUCUGAUUAGCGAGUUGGUGAGGUAAAGGCUCACCAAGGCGACGAUCAGUAGGCGGUCUGAGUGGAUGUUAAGCCACAUUGGGACUGAGACACGGCCCAAACUCCUACGGGAGGCAGCAGUGGGGAAUUUUGCGCAAUGGGCGAAAGCCUGACGCAGCCAUGCCGCGUGAAUGAUGAAGGUCUUAGGAUUGUAAAAUUCUUUCACCGGGGACGAUAAUGACGGUACCCGGAGAAGAAGCCCCGGCUAACUUCGUGCCAGCCGCCGCAGUAACAC
rnacentral:rRNA from 1 species